rnacentral:rRNA from 1 species
GAUGAACGCUGGCGGCGUGCCUAAUACAUGCAAGUCGAGCGAAUGGAUUAAGAGCUUGCUCUUAUGAAGUUAGCGGCGGACGGGUGAGUAACACGUGGGUAACCUGCCCAUAAGACUGGGAUAACUCCGGGAAACCGGGGCUAAUACCGGAUAACAUUUUGAACCGCAUGGUUCGAAAUUGAAAGGCGGCUUUGGCUGUCACUGAUGGAUGGACCCGCGUCGCAUUAGCUAGUUGGUGAGGUCACGGCUCACCAAGGCAACGAUGCGUGGCCGAGCUGAGAGGGUGAUCGGCCACACUGGGACUGAGACACGGCCCAGACUCCUACGGGAGGCAGCAGUAGGGAAUCUUCCGCAAUGGACGAAAGUCUGACGGAGCAACGCCGCGUGAGUGAUGAAGGCUUUCGGGUCGUAAAACUCUGUUGUUAGGGAAGAACAAGUGCUAGUUGAAUAAGCUGGCACCUUGACGGUACCUAACCAGAAAGCCACGGCUAACUACGUGCCAGCCGCCGCAGUAA